CCUACGGGAGGCAGCAGUGGGGAAUAUUGCACAAUGGGGGAAACCCUGAUGCAGCGACGCCGCGGGGGUGAAGAAGUAAUUCGUUACGUAAAGCUCUAUCAGCAGGGAAGAAACACUGACCUUACGGUCAGCAGACGGUACCUGAGUAAGAAGCCCCGGCUAACUACGUGCAAGCAGCCGCGGUAAUACGUAGGGGGCAAGCGUUAUCCGGAUUUACUGGGGGUAAAGGGAGCGUAGACGGUGCGCCAAGGCUGGAGAGAAAUGCCGCAGCUUAACUGCGGAACUGCUUUGGAAACUGGCGAACUAGAGUGCGGGAGGGGUAAGCGGAAUUCCUAGUGUAGCGGUGAAAUGCGUAGAUAUUAGGAGGAACACCGGUGGCGAAGGCGGCUUACUGGACCGUAACUGACGUUGAGGCUCGAAAGCGUGGGGAGCAAACAGGAUUAGAUACCCGAGUAGUC
rnacentral:rRNA from 1 species